ACAUUUCCAGCAGGUAUAGUAAAGGGAAGUCUCCUUCUUUUCCUUCAAUAGUGCAGUGACAGCUAGAUUGGGCAAAGGAGAGCACGCGUGUAUUGUCAGCUUACCACUGUAAUUGAUAUUUGCUAGACUCUCAGCAUGAAUAUCAAAAUACAGUUUUGGCCUUUAAGACCUUUCCCAGUUUGGUGAGUGUCAAUUUUCAGAACGAGUGCUGGUUCUCCAUUUUCCCCAGGAGGAAAAUGCUGGGGGAAAAGGAAGGAAAAAGGAAGAGAGGACGACCAAGGGCGAGAUGGAUGGACGGUAUCCUUGAAGUGACUGGCUCGACCUUGAAGGAACUGGGGACGGUGACAGCCGACAGGGAGCUCUGGCGUGGAGUGGUCCAUGAGGUCACGAAGAGUCGAAAACGACUGAAUGAGUGAGACGACGACGACAUGCUGGUUCUACACAUUGUGAUUUUUGAGGUCCAUCUAUACAGUAUGUUGUUUCUUUCCUUGAAGUGACAGGAAACAUAGCUAAGCAUGAGGGUAACCCAGGGCAGGGGCAAGCUGAAAACAUCUGCAAUUCAAUCAGAGCUACCCCGUCUAUUCCUGCUCAUAUCUUGCUUUCUGUUAAAAAGGGAAGCCACUAAUUCAGUUCAGGCAUUUGAAGUACUACUGGAUACUCCUCCAUUGUGGGAGGCAUCCUUGCCAGCUUCAAGACCCAGCCUUGGUUUCUUUGACACCUAGAAAUUGAUUCUGACUAGCUUCUGACUGACGUUCUAGGGUUGCAUCUACACUGUAGGAUUAAUGUAGUUUACCACUUUAACUCUCAUGGUUUUUAGCCUUCUCUGCCAAAAAGUGCUGGUGGGUCAUCAAACUAUAAUCCCAUGAGUCCAUUGCAUUGAAUAAUGACAGCUAACAUGGGGUCAAACUGUAUUAAUUCUAUAGUAUAGAACUAGACAGGGUUUCUUGACCUUGAACUGUUAAUGACCAACACCAGCUGCAGCUUAUCGCUCCACACAGUAAUUGAAGACAGUAUAGUACUCUGGGUCAACUCAGAUAAUUCUACAUCAGAGGAAAAAUACCAAACCUUUCACAAGCAGCUCUUCCUAUUUCUGGUCUAAAAAUGCAGGGAAAAAAAGGAAACAUCCAAUAUUUUUGCUGGCAUGGCAGGUUAUUCAAAACCCACUGCUUGAGAUAGUAGCCUCACUCUGUGUAAUAGUAGACCCUGAUUGCUAUACCUCAACCCACAUUACAGCAGUAUAUAAUGUGAAAAACGGUGUCCUCCAUCCCAGUGUUUUGUGAACUCAGUAAAAGUCCUUCAGAAAUAGUGAAUCCAGCAUUCCCUGUUUAUAUAUGUGUGGGGGAGUUCAAAAGAUUAGUGUAAUGGGUCUGGUCCAACAGAUAGGAGAUGCUGAUUUCAAUCUACAUGAAGCUGAACCCACUGGAAGAAGUUCAAGUACAACACUGAACACAGUUAUGUAAAUAAAAGGGUUCAGACCAGACUCCUAUAAAACAGAUCCCAGUGUUUCUCUAGUAAGAAAGAGUCUUUCACUGAAAAUGUCACUGUUUUUCCUAGCCAGAUUCAUCUCAUCAGAUACUGAGUAGCCUAGCCUUCAAUUUGCAAGGCGAACAGAAAAGCCACACAGAAAGAUGUUUUAAGAGAGAGAGAGAGAGAGAAAGAGAAAGAGAGGGUGAGUGUUCUUGUAAUUGCUGCAUCAUUUUUGCAUGUCCUUUUAGAGGUCAACCUUAGCUUUAAUUUGGUAGAAUCAGGAAACUUUCUUUAAUAAGUCUGAUUAUUGUAGACUAGAUGCAGUGAAUCUUCAUCUUUGAUGGCACCCACUGAUUUACAUUAGCUGGGCCAGCUGAUUAAAUAACCCACACAGCCAUCUUUUCUGACUUCAGUGCCAAGGCCAUUGAAGGGUAAAUAAGAGAUAGCCACCUUCCCUUCAUUAGGGGGAAGUGAAAUAGCCACUUCAGGCAGUUCAUUUUAAUCUAAACCAGAUGGCAAGUCCCAAUGAGAACUGAUCCAGUGAAUUAAUGGAGUUUGUGAAACCUGUGAGUUAAAUUUCAGGCCUGCAGUCUCUUGGCAAGAACAGACAUCUGUGUAGAAUAUCACCUGGCUUUUCCUUCAUUCCUCCUAAUUAUCCAACAUAUUCACUUAUCCAACUUUCUGCUGGGGAGCAGACCUCUUUAUCUGCAACACCUGUGUCGGAAGUAUCUCUUUACAAUGAAGACUUAAGUGACAAUAGAAUCGCCCCUUCUUUUCUGUGUGUAUGAGGUUUCCUUUGCGAUCUGGCUAUAAUUGUUUGGAAGAAACUGGAUUUCUAUCUACAGUCAUCCCCAUACAUUUGUGGCUUUGACUUUUGCAGAUUUGAUUAUUCACAGACUUAUACUCUAAGAAUAGCUGGAAGUUAGCACUAGAAUAUGUUAACUAUUUCCACUACUUAGGCAGUCACCUCUCCACAAAAGCUGACAUCAACGCCAAAAUACAACACCAUCUGAGCUGCACGAGAGCAGCAUUUUUCAAAUGAAACAGAGUGUUUGAGAACAUUCAUAGGGAUACCAAGGUGCUUGUUUAUAAAGCUAUUGUCCUUCCAACUCUGCUGCAUGCCUGCAAAACAUGGACCUUAAGAAAUGUAGCACAAACACUGAGAACUGGAAAUCCUUGGCACUCAAGCGUUCUAACUGGAGGUCAGUUGUUACCAAUAGUGCUAUGGAUUUUGGAGAGAGACAAAUUGAGGGUGAAAAGGAGAAAUGUCCCAAGAAGGAAAUACGUCAAGCCAACCCUUGUCGGGAUCGCCUUCAAUCUGGAAAUGUAUGUCCUCGCUGCAAAAAAGCAUGCGGAUCUAUAAUUGGUCUCUACAGUCACUUACAGACCCACCCCCCAAGACUCUACUUCUGGAAGACAACCAUGCUCAGCCACAAGAGAUCGUCUAUGACUCUACGAAUCUCUAGGUCCUCCAAAGUGAAUGUAUGUUCAGUUUCCAAUGAAAAUUGACCAUAAAGUUAUGCUGGAAGAUCUUAAAAACUCUGGAGUGGUGUUUUCCCAGGUUAAAAAAUAAAAAUUUCUUUAUUUGUGAUUUUUCACUUAUGUGGGAGUCCUGUCUCCCUACCCACAGAGAAUGUGGAGGGCUAAUUGUACAAUGCAUCUAUAUUGUUGUGACUGACUAUUUGUUUUGUAUAUAUAGGUAAAGGUAAAGGUUUUCCCCUGACAUUUAAGUCCAGCCAUGUCCAACUCUGGGGGCUGGUGCUCAUCUCCAUUUCUAAGUCAAAGAGCCGGUGUUGUCCAUAGACACCUCCAAGGUCACGUGGCCGGCAUGACUGCAUGGAGCACCGUUACCUUCCCACCAGAGCAGUACCUAUUGAUCUACUCACAUUUGCAUGUUUUUGAAGUGCUAGGUUGGCAGAAGCUAGGGCUAACGGGGCGCUCACUCUGCUCCCCGGAUUCGAACCUGCAAUCUUUCGGUCCACAAGUUCAGCAGCUCAGUGCUUUAACACACUGCACCAGAAAAAUGGGUGGUGAUAGGUUUCCAUGAGAAAUGCACAAUUUUUAUCUAGGCUCACAUUUUAUGGGGUUUCUCACAUGUAAAGUAUGCGUUAUUGUAAUCAAUGUGACUUAUAUUGGUCAGAAACUUACACUGAAUGAAAAAUUCAUUUCUCUAUAGAAAUAGUAUCUGCGUAAAUAUGCCCCAGGAAACAGAUACUGGGCAACAAGGAAGCUGAGGUUGACAGUGCUGUCCAGUUGCAAGUGUUGAAACAGUUAAUUGCCAGUCCAUUUGCCUUCUAUAUCUGGAAUCUGAACCUGUGUGUCACCAUCUCGUUCUUUACCUUAAGCAGCAAAAUGAAUGCCUUGGGCCAGCCCUACCUUUGGGGGUACACCCCCAGCAGACCCAUAUGUCUUCAUGCACUCUUCCAUGGUUGGAAAGGGAACAAAGUACAUUCUUUUCAGCUUUCAGAAGGAAAUAAGAGAGCAAUACCCUGAAAGAAAACAGACAUCACACUCCCACCAUCUAAUACCAUCGAGAAUAAACUUUCCAAACAGAUGUACCAUUUUCCCCCUGGAACAGGAGCACAUGGCAGGAAAAAGGUAUGUCAGAAAUUGUUCUUAUAAGGAAAAACUGAAGUAACAACUUCAGUUAUGGAAAGACUAUUGUAUUCUUCUAAUGCAGUGGGGGUUAUUGCUUCAGUGCCAAGAUUCCAUCAAGGUUAAUAAUAAAGGCAAAGCAGAUCAGUUUAACAGAUGCAAGCCCUGUCUUUUAGAAGUGGAGUCAAAGAAAAGAAGCACUCUACAAUGAAUGUCUGUUCCGGAAAACAAACAGAUGCACAGAAAACUUAAUACAAAGUAUUUAUAUUGCUAACUAAAUAAAUGUUAAAUAAAAUAUUGGUUUAUCAGUACAUUGGGGGACAAAAAAAUCUUCCUUGUACCAUUGAUAGAACAUUCCUAUUUAGUAUGCUAUACAUAUGCAAAAAUUCUGGAGGGAAUUUCCCUCAAUGUAAAUAUUAGUUUCAGGAUCCUGUGGACCAUGAAAGGCUGUUUUCCUUUUGUGCUAGCUCUGAUUCCUACAAUUAGCAUCCUGACUCCCAAAGACACCCAGUAGGUUUCUGUGAUUGAUUGGGAUCCAAACCUAAGUCCUAGGGUUUGUGUACAUCAGGGCUUUCCAAACUGUGUAUCGCGACACAUUAGUACGUCAGCUACAGUAUGCAUGUAAUGAGCCUGUGUGAAAUAAACCAUAAAUCAUAUAUUUUUUAAAAAAUACAAAUGAAAGGUUUUCAUGAGACAUGUUGUUUCCCCAUACCAUUACAGGCAUUCCCUGAGUUACAAAUAUCCAACUUACAAACCACUCAUAGUUAAGAACAGGGAUGAGAUGACAGGAAGUGAGUUAAAUAUACCCCUUGGAAGGGAAAUUCACCCCUGGAAGAGUUAUCAUGGGGAAAAGGUGUCUCCACUGAAGUUUUAUCAACAGUACUUAUUUCCACAACAAGCCAAAUAUUUCAAAAUCCAAUUCUCACAGGGACAGAAAGUGAGGUGAAAUCUCUGAACAGCAAUACAAACACCACAGGGGUGUUAACUCUUCCCCAAUGCUAGCCAAAGUGUGUAUGUGUGUGUGUGAGAGAGAGAGGGGGGGGGGGGGAGAAGGAGUUAUGCUUAAAAAUGUACCUGUUCUGAGUUACAUACAAAUUCAACAUAAGAACAAACCUACAGAAUCUAUCUUGUUUGUUACUUGGGAAUUGUCUGUAUUACAAUUUAUGUAUGUAUCUGUAUAUUUUAUAAGGGAUUGGUCAAACCUCCAGUUUGCUAGUAAAACAGAAUUCCUGUAUCAUGAAAUGAUGCACGUCUAAAAUGUGUGUAUUUAUUUAUUUAUUAUUUAUUGUUGGUAUUUGUCUCCCACUUUCUCUCUCUCAAGGAAACACAAAGCAACUGGAAAGCUCUGGUCUACACUGACAAAAA